ACCGGAAGCUGUAGUGAGUCAUCUGUGAGCAGAGACGAUCUGUGCGCUCCACCAUCAUCAGCUGUCACACGUUUCAACGUCUUCUUCAUCUCACGUUCACUUUCAGCUGCAGGUUCGAUCCCGGAUCCGGACGUGGUGCGGAUUCAGUCCGAGUUAAGAGCCUGUGACCCGGACUGUUCUCCAGCUGUGUCCCGCUCUCAGCUCCAGAUGUGACGGUGGAUUAAAGUGGAUGACUCAGUGGAUUGUUAGCUACAGUUGUCACGGUAACUGUGGAUCAAACUGAAGGUCAAGCAGUGAAGCAUGAUGGGAGGUGGCAGAUGGACGAGCUGGUCGUGGGCCGAGUGACUGACACACACACCAUGGACCAAGACUUCAGUUUAAAUACACUGAAGAAGCUGGCAGCAGAACCAGACUACACUGACGUGUCACUGACGGCGGCGGAGCGUGUUCGAGCGCUGGGGAAGAUGGGAUUCAGUGUGGAGGUCAACGAUGACAUUACACCACGACGCUACUUCCGCUCCGGUGUGGAGAUGGAGCGCAUGGCGGCGGUGUACCUGGAGGAAGGCAGUCUUGAGAACGCCUAUGUCCUCUAUACCAAGUUUAUCACUCUGUUUGUAGAGAAGCUGCCGAGUCACAGAGAUUACCAGCAGUGCAGCAUUCCAGAGAAGCAGCUCAUCAUGAAGAAACUUCAGGAAGUGGCAUUCCCUCGUAAAGACGAGUUGAAGAAACGUCUUCAGGAGAAAUACAGCAGGGAACACAGCGAGUACCUCAGAGCCCAGAGCCAGCCGGUGGUGUUGGAUGGGUGUGGCCAGCAGCUGCAAUGUCUCUCCCUAUUGGACGAGGACAGGAGGCGGUUCCUGCUGUUGGAGGGGGAGAGGCAGCGUGUCGCCGCCUUGCGUCGGAUGCAGAUCGAAUCAGAACAGUUUCGUUACUUCGAAGACCAGCUGAGGCGUCAGGAACUGGCCAAUAGCAGAGAGGAGGCGACACAAAAGGCGGAGACCAAAGUGCCUGAGGUGACCGACAGCACUCGUCUAUCUCGGCAACCAAUCAGUGAUGCUGUACGAUCCCAGGGGGUGGAUCCAAACAGAAACAGACCUGCUCCUAUCAGCGAACCAGCUGCCACGUUGGCUGGAGUAACUUCUCAGAAGGUGGAAGGUCUGAGGCGGGUUGUGAUUCCCAGAGAUCUGACGUAUCGUUUCCUCCUGUUGGCUGAUUCCAACACGGCCAGAGGAAUAGAAACGUGUGGAGUUCUGUGUGGACGACUGACACACAAUGAGUUUGUGCUGACUCACGUCGUGAUCCCCAAACAGUCGGCCGGUCCAGAUUUCUGCGACAUGGAGAAUGUGGAGGAACUGUUCAGCUUCCAGGACCAACAGAACCUGCUGACGCUGGGCUGGAUCCAUACUCAUCCCACUCAGACCGCCUUCCUGUCUAGCGUCGACCUCCACACUCACUGCUCAUACCAGCUGAUGCUGCCGGAGGCCGUCGCCAUCGUCUGCGCUCCCAAACAUAACGAGAAGACCAGACCGUCUCAUUUCGGUUCGGCCGACUGAGUGGACGCAGCCGUUGGAGGAUGCAGCCGACGUCGGCUGCGUAGAUCGAGUCCUCCACAGGAUGCGACCGCUGAGACACAGCUACACAAAUGUUGUACCUGCUCUUAAAGGGACACGCACAUAAUGAAGUUAGACAUCGGAGAACUGAACGUAAACUGAACAUGAAGAACAUAAACGACGCUGUGGCUUUAACCCCUCCCCCUCCCCCCAGCACUGGCGUGUUCCAGCUCACCGCUCCGGGGAUGUCGGAGGUGUGCGGCUGCAGACUGAAAGGUUUCCACCCUCACUCCAAGGAGCCGCCUCUCUUCACUGUGUGUAAACAUGUGGUGGUGAGAGAGUCAAAGAUCAGCCUGCUGGAC